CACCGCGGUUAUACGAGUAACCCAAAUUAAUACUUUUCCGGCGUAAAGAGUGGUUAAAGAAAAAAACAACUAAAGUUAAGACACCAUCAAGCUGUUAUACGCAUUUAUGAGUGGAAUAACCAAUAACGAAAGUGACUUUAUAAUAUUAAAAUCUUGAUGCCACGACAGUUAGACCC
rnacentral:rRNA from 1 species